AUUGAACGCUAGCGGGAUGCUUUACACAUGCAAGUCGAACGAGUGGCGGACGGGUGAGUAAUAUAUCGGAACGUGCCCAAUGGCGGGGGAUAACUACUGGAAAGAGUGGCUAAUACCGCAUACCAUCAGAUCGGCCCAGAUCGGAUUAGCUAGUUGGUGGGGUAAAGGCUCACCAAGGCAACGAUCCGUAGCUGGUCUGAGAGGAGGACCAGCCACACUGGAACUGAGACACGGCCCAGACUCCUACGGGAGGCAGCAGUGGGGAAUUUUGGACAAUGGGGGAAACCCUGAUCCAGCCAUCCCGCGUGUAUGAGAAGGCCUUCGGGUUGUAAAGUACUGUUGGCAGAGAAGCGGUAUCUGCAGAAUAAGCACCGGCUAACUACGUGCCAGCAGCCGCGGUAAUAC
rnacentral:rRNA from 1 species